rnacentral:rRNA from 1 species
GAUGAACGCUAGCGGCAGGCCUAAUACAUGCAAGACGAACGGUAAGUUGAGUAGCAAUACUUAGCCAAGAGUGUCGUACGGGUGCGUAACACGUAUGCAACCUACCCUAUACAGGAGGAUAGCCUAGGGAAACCUGGAUUAACCCUUCAUAGUAUUAUUGGAUGGCAUCAUUUGAUAAUUAAAACUGAGGUGGUAUAGGAUGGGCAUGCGUCUGAUUAGUUAGUUGGCGGGGUAAUGGCCCACCAAGACGAUGAUCAGUAGGGGUUCUGAGAGGAAGAUCCCCCACACUGGCACUGAGAUACGGGCCAGACUCCUACGGGAGGCAGCAGUAGGGAAUAUUGGUCAAUGGAUGCAAGUCUGAACCAGCCAUGCCGCGUGCAGGAAGAAGGCCUUCUGGGUUGUAAACUGCUUUUGCCAGGGGAUAAAAUUUCCAUGCGUGGAAAACUGAAGGUACCUGGUGAAUAAGCCACGGCUAACUACGUGCCAGCAGCCG